AUACGGAGGGUGCAAGCGUUACCCGGAAUCAUUGGGUUUAAAGGGUCCGUAGGCGGGCAAUUAAGUCAGAGGUGAAAUCCCACAGCUCAACUGUGGAACUGCCUUUGAUACUGGUUGUCUUGAGUUAUAGUGAAGUAGAUAGAAUGUGUAGUGUAGCGGUGAAAUGCAUAGAUAUUACACAGAAUACCGAUUGCGAAGGCAGAUCACUACGUAUAUACUGACGCUAAGGGACGAAAGCGUGGGGAGCGAACAGGAUUAGAUACCCCGGUAGUCC
rnacentral:rRNA from 1 species